UACGUAGGGUGCGAGCGUUGUCCGGAAUUACUGGGCGUAAAGAGCUCGUAGGUGGUUUGUCGCGUUGUUCGUGAAAACUCACAGCUCAACUGUGGGCGUGCGGCGAUACGGGCAGACUGGAGUACUGCAGGGGAGACUGGAAUUCCUGGUGUAGCGGUGGAAUGCGCAGAUAUCAGGAGGAACACCGGUGGCGAAGGCGGGUCUCUGGACAGUUCCUGACGCUGAGGCACGAAGGCCAGGGAGCAAACGGG
rnacentral:rRNA from 1 species